AGAGUUUGAUCAUGGCUCAGGACGAACGCUGGCGGCGUGCUUAACACAUGCAAGUCGAACGGAAAGGCCCUUCGGGGUACUCGAGUGGCGAACGGGUGAGUAACACGUGGGUGAUCUGCCCUGCACUUUGGGAUAAGCCUGGGAAACUGGGUCUAAUACCGAAUAGGACCGCGCUCUUCAUGGGGUGUGGUGGAAAGCUUUUGCGGUGUGGGAUGGGCCCGCGGCCUAUCAGCUUGUUGGUGGGGUAAUGGCCUACCAAGGCGACGACGGGUAGCCGGCCUGAGAGGGUGACCGGCCACACUGGGACUGAGAUACGGCCCAGACUCCUACGGGAGGCAGCAGUGGGGAAUAUUGCACAAUGGGCGCAAGCCUGAUGCAGCGACGCCGCGUGAGGGAUGACGGCCUUCGGGUUGUAAACCUCUUUCAGUAGGGACGGAGCGAAAGUGACGGUACCUACAGAAGAAGGACCGGCCAACUACGUGCCAGCAGCCGCGGUAAUACGUAGGGUCCGAGCGUUGUCCGGAAUUACUGGGCGUAAAGAGCUCGUAGGUGGUUUGUCGCGUUGUUCGUGAAAACUCACAGCUUAACUGUGGGCGUGCGGGCGAUACGGGCAGACUAGAGUACUGCAGGGGAGACUGGAAUUCCUGGUGUAGCGGUGGAAUGCGCAGAUAUCAGGAGGAACACCGGUGGCGAAGGCGGGUCUCUGGGCAGUAACUGACGCUGAGGAGCGAAAGCGUGGGUAGCGAACAGGAUUAGAUACCCUGGUAGUCCAA
rnacentral:rRNA from 1 species